rnacentral:rRNA from 1 species
AGAGUUUGAUCAUGGCUCAGAAUCAACGCUGGCGGCGUGCCUAACACAUGCAAGUCGAACGCGAAAGUCCCUUCGGGGAUGAGUAGAGUGGCGUCCGGGUGAGUAACACGUAGGUAAUCUACCUUCGGGUGGGGAAUAACGUCUCGAAAGAGACGCUAAUACCGCAUAAUGCAGCGGCACCUAAUGGUGAAUAGUUGUUAAAGCGGGGGACCCUUCGGGGCCUCGCGCCUGAAGAGGAGCCUGCGGCAGAUUAGCUAGUUGGUGAGGUAACGGCUCACCAAGGCUGCGAUCUGUAGCUGGUCUGAGAGGACGGCCAGCCACACUGGCACUGACACACGGGCCAGACUCCUACGGGAGGCAGCAGUGGGGAAUUUUGGGCAAUGGGCGAAAGCCUGACCCAGCAACGCCGCGUGAAGGAGGAAAUCCUUCGGGAUGUAAACUUCACAAGCAAGGGAAGAGCGCAUGACUUAUAACACACGUCAUGCUUGACGGUACCUUGCGUAAGCCACGGCUAACUACGUGCCAGCAGCGGCGGUAAUAC